GGUUCGUUUUCUGUCUCAUUAAACUGAGUCUGCAGGUGAUGGAUCUGACCUGGAUCUGACCUGGGCCCUGCAGGUGUCUGAUGGAUCUGACCUGGAUCUGACCUGGAUCUGACCUGGAUCUGACCUGGGCCCUGCAGGUGUCUGAUGGAUCUGACCUGGAUCUGACCUGGGCCCUGCAGGUGUCUGAUGGAUCUGACCUGGGCCCUGCAGGUGUCUGAUGGAUCUGACCUGGAUCUGACCUGGGCCCUGCAGGUGUCUGAUGGAUCUGACCUGGGCCCUGCAGGUGUCUGAUGGAUCUGACCUG